AUACAAUUUCCCCUCUUAACCAAUGGAGGGUGGGAGAAGCUUUAACAUCUGAAGUACUUUGUGUCCCCGUUUAGAAGAGGCAGUGCAUGCUAACAGCCAUUUAGUUUCCUGAAAUUGCUGCAGGAUACAAAGAUACGUCAUAUAUCCCAUCUGACAGCAUCAGCACAAAGGCACACAAUAUCUGCCAGGGCUCUUUGUUAAAUACUAUAUUGUCCUAGUGACUCAGUGCACUGGAAUGCAUCGGAUUUAGCCAUAGCCUUUCUAAUACAGUCUUUAGAUUAGGCACAAAUUUCUGCCUUUUAGAAAAAAAAAAAUAUAUCUAUGGCUUAUCAUUAUGUGGAGCACACAAAAUUCCUGGCCUCUUUUCCAGGGUGAUAAACACAGCACUGAAACAAAAGGCCUGGGCCCCAAACCAAAUGGCUCUUUCAAGCUUCUAACAAGUCGGGUUUCAAGAACACUGAAGAGAGGAAAACCCAGAUGUGCACCACGACCAGAAGUUCUUGUCAGAAGGAGAGAGGGCAGAAGAGCAGUGAAGAUGGUCAAAGUCACUGAACAUCGUCUGUAGUGAGGACAGCUGAAUCAGCCUUGGAUCUUUCAGUCUGGAAUACUAGAGUACAAUACCAAACUGCCCUCACUUUGCGUUCUUAACUGCUGUUGUGAGCAGACAGAGGGCAAGCAUCCACAGUGAGCCCACUGCUUGCACAGGAAGCAUCAACCACAUCCAUUUACAGCAAGGGCCCUGCAAUACAGCCUCCCCCAACGUGUAGCUUUCCUGCCAAGUCACGAAGCCUCAUGUGAUGCUUGAAGAGAAGCUUCCUAAUAUUCCAACCCCGGCCCAGUUAUUUAGACAUUCAGUGCACAGUCUUGGGAAACAAUGACUUGUUAAGGACUUCUUUGAAACAGUUUCUUUUCCCAUUCCAAUCUAUGGCAAUCAAAGACAGAGCUUGUUUCCAACAUCUCCUCUGCUCCAUCCCUCUGCCAUCUCCUACUGAUCUGAAUUCAUAUACGCAGACUUCUUGCUUUAAUCACAAUCUUCUGCCCUUCGAAGGGACUCCAGGCCUCAAAUCCUUGUCUCCUACUUCUGUUCAUCAGGCCCGCAAAAGCAUACCUGGUUCUGAAGGUCAGUGCUGAGCCUGCCACACACAGCAUCGGCUGAAAUAAGUGUUCUGCAGGCCAAAUUAUGCCUUGGGGAAGCCUAUGCAGCCGUGUGGGCCUCCUGCAGAUUGCACAGCUGUCAGGCUACAGCUUACAGUACUCUCCCUAAGAUACGCAAGGAGAAAGAGAAUUCAAUGAUAUUGACUUAUUCUAGCUACUGAAGUCAGCGGACCUGACUCUAAACACACUUGGGAUUAGACCUGUCGAUUAUGACCAUGGGGCAGCACUGUCCAGUAGCAGCAUCAUUUGUUCUUCACAUGACCUCUCUGUUACUUUCAGUUUUAGCAUUCCUCACGGCGUUUGUUGCAGCAGCCAUUGUGCCAGCUGAGCAGGGAGACCCCACUGUGUUUGGCACACUACAAAAGGUGCCAAAGGUAGAAAGACUGUCCUGAAUUCAGAAGCAAACAGCUAAAUUAACGGUGCAUUAGGUAGGAACAGAUCAUCUGAACCAAGGACAUCAGGCAUGUCUCAUGAUACUUGCCAGAGGUGAGAAGAUAAGAAGACACACAUAAGAUAGCUUCUUUUUCCCCUUCUUGCAUAGAAGCACAAGCAUUAUCUGCCCUGCUCCCAGGACGUUUUUAAACCAACCUGCUAACACAUUCCAGUUUCCAAGCACACAAUUUCCCCUUGUCUUUUGUUUAUGAACACCUUCGGUUCUAAAAUUCAUCAUCCCAUGCUAUCCUUAGGAGAGUGGCCUGCUAGGGUUGUUACAGUGAAAUUAAUUGUGCAGUGGUCUCAGCCAUCGCAGCUCCCACACUCACCUGCUGGGUCUGUGCCUGCAUUUUACAUCCAAAAGCUGAGAGUCAGCUUGCAGAUACCUACAGUAGGCAGUUAACUAUUUUCAGCCUGGCUGUGCACCAGAUGGCCCAACAUGUUCCAGUUAACCAGUAUAUAUUAACUGACGUCCCUCACAGUAACAAGUUUAACAAUAUUUGUAGACACUUCAUAAAGCAUAGGCUCGUUAUUACAGUCCAUUAGUGUGCAUGCAAGAUAUUUUAACGUGUAAAAAGUCCCCAUGAAAUAAGAAUUUUCUCCUUUACUUUCAGGAAAAAAAAAAAGCCAUCCUUGCCACAUACUAGGCAACGCUUUCCAGUGCUUUCUUCAUACCCUUUCCAUCCCAUAAGUCAAGUCAAACCUCAUUUAACCGAUAUCACAGCAUGCCUCUAAGAGUCACCCCUGCAUGUGAGCAGGUUCCUCAUCCUCCCUCCUCCUCGAGUUCAGCAAGGCUGGAACAGAGCAGGUGAACUCUUGCUCUCCUGACCCCAGGGCCUCUUCUGCUCUGCAGCACAGGAAACCACACAUGACACAUUAUUCAAUUAUGUGGCAACGCCUUCAGCAUAGAUUUCCCUGCAGCCUCAAACAGGUACAAGGCACAACCAUAUUGGUUCUUUGUUCUGCUGGAAAGUGCACACCACUGGAAGUGGACUACAGGCAGAAUGCAGCACUUCGGAUAAAAGGAGCUAGAACCAUCAACUUCCAUUUCUCCCAAAACCAAACAAGUUAAGCCAAAGGAGUUCGUGUUUCUAUGGUAGUGUUGCCCAAAUAAGCAGAGUUAGAGCUCCUCUCUAGUGAAGUCAACCUGAUGACACAAGACAGCAUCACAACAGUAGGCACUAUAGAAAGUCUCAUCCUAGAAAUGUAAGGGUACUUACUGGAAAAGGUGAUCAAACAGAGUCUGUCUCUCCUCUGUAGCCAGCUGUCCACUCAUUCACCUGGAUCCUAUCAGAGAGGAAAAAAGGCUCUAAGUAUAGACAAAGCGACAGACCCAAGAAGUAGGCCAGCCGAGGGAAGUCAGACAGACCCUCCUCAACACUGAGGUUGAGAACUAAGAAUGCUGACAAAGCUCAGAGCACUGCUGCAAUGCCUGAAAUCUCCUACGGCACUGCUUGCCCCCAGAGGCUCUCAGCAAGGCUCGAUCUGAUCAAAAUGUAAGGGAGUGGCACCAAUAGCUACAAAAAUCAGGUGCUACAGAGAACCACAUCUGUUUCUGAGACACACUGACCACCAAAAGCACCAUUACAGUGUGCUCUGCCUAUUACAUGGGGAAACAAGAACUCCCUUUGCAAGAUGCAGCCUGGAAGGAAUAUAAGGGCUGUGGAUCCAGCACACACUGAGGAGUGCCUUUAACAGACACAGUGGUUCAACAAAUGGUACCCCUGUAACAGGAAACCACUCAACUUUUGCUUAACCCUGUUUUGAUUAAGCAAAAGAUUACCCAUGGAGUGGCAUUAUGAUGCAAAGAAAAGCAAAAUGCAUCACUAGCCAUACACUUUAAUACACAUCACGCACAGAACAACUGUGCUUCAGAGGGACAUUAAAUCCACAUUCAAUUAAUAGAGACCCCUCUUAGGAUGGGCAUUAAAUAAUUCCCUACCAUGCACACAGAUAACUGUCCACUUCACAAAAAUGGAAUAGGAACCUCCUCAUAUCCCUGCCAAUAAAAUCUCCAUCAAAACUUGCCCUUAAAACAACAAGGGGUCAGUGAGGAGGGAUGAGGGGCAGGAGAGCCACUAUUGUGUGCUUAUAUUAAAGACUCCUCAUCAGAAAAUUACUCCAAAUGGAUGUUUUUCAUGUUUAUCAAUAACAGAGCUAAUGGUUUUUAUGUAAAUGCCAUUACUCUCAGUCAGAUCUGCACAGGACUCACCCCCAUCUCCCCUCGUGAGCGACUCCCCUUCAGGCAGCCAAUCUAAAUGCAAAUUAUAAUCAAAUGGCAAAACCAGGAGUUUUCCGGAUGAGACCAAAAAUCUAAAAUUAAGGACAAAGCGUACUUAUUUUGAGAGAACAUCCCUCCUUGUCGUUAAUACACAACACCCGCUGGGCUCACACCGCUUCUUCAACCCAAACAUACAUCAAAAUUCAAGCCUAACUUGAUUCUCCUUUGCAGCCCUACUGUUUACCUAUAGAGCAAAGAGCAGCAUUUGCGGGGGGAAGUGACUCUCCUUGGCACAGAGCUGGAAGAAGGAGGUGGUGCUGCGGGAUGGGUAUUCAGAGGCAGAGAUUUAGAGCUGCUGCCAGCAUGAGGAGUGCCUCUCUCACGGCAUAAAAGCUUUUCAGAAGAGCACUUAAAUCACAGCCCCCACCUGGAAGAUACACAAAACAGAGCGCUUCGUCGGCACUGAUUACAAUAACGCACUAAUGACAAAUUUGGUAAUAAAUAACAUCAAAAACGGCGCUGUUUAUUAAGCAGAACGCACAGAAGAGAAACUAAUGACUAAAACAAAGGCCAGAAACCUAACAACGUAACUACUGCACAGGUCUGUGAGGGAGCCCAGAGGGGACUGGCUCCCCGGCUGCAGAACACCAAAGCUCCCAUUCCCCAGAGAUGGACACGUCCUCAGAGGGAGGCAGCCAAUUAGCGAUGGCUACAGACGUGCUCGUUACACGGGCUUAGCGCUUUGUAUGUUUUGGAAGAGCAUAUCACAGGAAUAUUCAGAGCAGAACUUGGCUAAUUAACAUUAAUAACUGAGAGACCGCUUCGGCAAACAGCUGGAUUUUGUGGAUUAGGCAGCGAGCGGACACACAGUGCUGGGGAGCAGAGAGAGAAUGCAGCUCAGCGGGCACCUGGCUGCUGCCUCAGUGUUGCAGUUAAUGAUUUAUCCUUGGGCCUCAAUGUCCAUGAACGAAUGAAUGCGCAGUCUGUAAAUAAAGCACCUCAGCCUGAGCACGGCCUGGCUACAGCUGACUGCUGGGGUAUGACUGCUCGUCAAAAGAGGUAUUACAUUCAAAACCACAGCCCUGCCUGCCUUCCCCCAGAAGCUUCUCAUGAAGACUGGCAUCUCUGAAAUCUCAGUCAACUCUUCUUUUUCCACAGCUGCUUUGACAUAGCUCGUGGUUAAACAAUUACUCACAGACCCAUUGCUUUCGGCACUAAAAUAAGACACAGACUUUCAGUCCUCCAUCACAGCACGGAGCUGCAAAGGAUCCGUCCUCCUCUUCCUCCAAAGCCACGGUGAAGCAGCACAGCUACGUAACCCAUCUUUGGCAAAAGGAGCCCCAGCUUACAGCCCAUCACCACAUCAAGGCCCAUUUAGAAUCAUCACAGAAUUGAGUUAGAAAGAACACUUAAAAGCCACCCGGUCCCACUCCCUGCAAUGAGAAGGGACAGCUCAGAGCCCAUCCAGCCUGACCUUGGCUGUCUGCAGGGAACAAGGCACCCACCACCUCCACGGGCAACCUGUGCCAGUGCCUCACUAUCCUAAUUGUAAAAAUCUUCCUUAAAUCCAACCUAAAUCUCCUCUAUUUUAGUUUGAAACCAUUUCCCCUUGCCCUGUCACAACAAAUCCAGAUAAAGAGUCUGUCCCUUCCUUCCUUACGGCCCUCUUUUAGGUACUGAAAGGCCACUCUCAGGUAUGUCUGCAGCCUUCUCUUCUCCAGGCUGCACAGUCCCAGCUCUCUCAGCCUCUCCUCAUACGAGAGGUGUCCCAUUCCAUCAAUUAUUUUUGCGGCCCUUCUCUGGAUACACUCCCAAUGGGUCCACGUCUCUCCUGUACUGAGGACUCCACAUGUGGAUGCAGUGCUCCAGGUGAGGCCUCACCAGAACAGUACAGAAAGGCAGGAUCCCCCCCUUGCCUUGCUGGCCACACUACUUUGGAUGCAGCCCAGGAUACAGUUGGCAUUCAGGACAGAGAGGGCACAGUGCUGGCUCAUGUCCAGCUGCCAUCCAUCGUUACCCCCAGGACCUUUUCACCAGGGCUGCGCUCUAUUCUUACAUCCCCAGCCUGUAUUGAUAGCGGGGGCCGCUGUGACUUCAGGUGCAGACUCUACACUUGGCUUUGUUGAACCUCAGGAGGUUGUCGCAGGCCUACUGUGAGCUGUGGGGGAAGAGAAAAAAUAGGAAAAAAACCAAAAAGGGAAGGAGCCCUUCUGAAACAAGUGCAUCUCAUUCACACACCUCAGCGCUGCAGAUCACAGCCCAACCCUGCAACAGAUGUCCUGGUGAAAGCAGCAGCACUGCGAAGCAAACAGGCGUUCAGGCACGGCGACUCAGGGAAUGCUGCUCCAGGAACGUGGUGCAUCGGGGACAGUGCUGCUCAGCCACCCGAGAUUUCACGCACAGCCACCACCAUAAUCUGAUUUCACAGGCAUCUCCUGACUUCAGCUGUCAAACCACAACCGCAGCCCAUUUGCUGCAGCAGCGCGCUUGAAAACCAGAGCUGUUCCUGGAGCAGAGCCAUUUCCUCCCAGAAAUUAAAGGUUCAAAAAUCAGAGAAUCUCACCCCAACCCGUGGACUCGCUGCUUCCCUUUGCAAGAGUUCAGGUUUACUCACACCAAAAGGGUCCGGGCAGCAGAGCCUUUUCUUGCUGCCUUUUGUGUGAGGCUUCACGCUACAAUAAAUGGGUGGAAAUGCAAAGCAGAAGUUCACACAAAGAGAAACCAGUGUGCGAGGUGGUUUCUUCUGAAAAAGAGAAGGAGCAGGAAUGACUUACUGCCUCAUUAAGGAGCCCCAGGCUGCAUUUUUAUUAGAUAUAUUUAGAUGCCAGUGGUAAAAAACCAAACAAAAGUUAAAAAAAAAAAGAAGGGGGAGCACCUGUGUUCUUAACGUAUGGCCUGGGUAAGUCACAGGGCUACAAACUAAACCACAGCAGAUGCUCCAAAUGCAAGUGUGGAAUGUUAAUGGUGUACGUGAGGACUCAGAAAAUCACCAUCAAUCUGCACAAAGGUGAAAGGAUUCCGCUGCUGCAGGACUGUGACUUUUCCCCACGCUCUCACGCAGCAAAUGCCUGUUCAUGUCACAGCCCACAGUUACUCCUGUGUUCCUCUUUGUGUUUUCAUACCUCAUUACAGCUUGUAAGCUGCUCAGUGCAAUGAAAAGGCAAGUCAGUGGAAGAUUUACUAUCUCGGUGGUAAAACUGAGCCCGUGCCCCAGCUGUCAGCCUCCCCACCACCGCCUCCUAUGGCACUGUGCAUGAUCCCAUGCACCCCCUGCUGUGGCCUCCACCCUGCAAGCAACCUGCAGCUCCGAAGGAAGGCUCAGUUCAUAGAACAUCCUGAGCUGGAAGGGACCCGUAAGGAUCACCCCGUCCAAUUCUUAGUUCAAAACAUCUUUCCUAUGUACAUAUCCCACAUAUGUAUAUGUCCGUGUAUAUAAGUAUAUAUACUCUGGCCUGCACAGUGCACAACUUUCUAGUAAUGUAAAUGCCAUCUCCCCGGCUCAAUGGGGAUGAUAACUUAUGGCUAAUCCUGUACGCUGGCACUGAACAAAGCAAGGCGGCACACCCAGAGCCAGCAUACCUCCCAACCACUAAACACACAUUUCUGUGCUCUACGUGGGCAGCAACUGCUGUCCAGAACGUUUUAAGAGCAGAAACCACACUGCCUGAUGCGAGAGGAAAAAAAAUAAACCAAACCCAAAUACAUUCUUCCUCCUCUUCAAAGCCAGAGCAUAAGAAACAAGCAACGUAAUUAUUCCCACACAAGGGGAAGGAAAAUAAACCCAAAGAACACACACACGAGGAAAGCAACAAGCCUCAAAAAACUGCAUUUUCAAAAUAGUUCAAGGGCUUCUGCGCAGGGCCGUAGCCUCACAGCAGGAGUCAGGAAGAGCAGAAACUACAGAGAACCAUCUUCAGGGCUGCUGCACCCCGCAGAGCCCCCAGCACAGUCUCCCCUGCGUGCUGGAUCAUUCCCUGCCUCCUCCCCCACUCCAGCGCUGGUUGGUUCAGCAGAACUCCCGGCCCAGCAUCCAGCAGCGAGGCCAGCUGUGAAGGGUGCUGGCUCUGUGUCUGUCCCCUGCUGGGGACCCACCAGUGCCUGCCCUGGGCAGCACCCAGAUGCCAGCACCAAGUGGGAAGGAGUGGGUGCCCUAAGUGCUGCACAUUCUUUGGUGCCAACGUGGCACAGCUUUUUCCUCCCGGAGCAGCCUCAAAGCCAAAGGCAUCAGUUGCAGCUGUCCCAUCACCUGCCCGGAGACACCCAGACACCAGACGUGUGCCAAGAGGAGGCUUUCACUGCACCUGUACCAACAUGAGGGCUCCUCAGCAAAUCCUCCAAAUCCUCCAAGGCUGCAGCAAACAAACCUCUGGCAGGACAGAAGCAAGCUCUCAUCCCGAUGUUUCCUCCAGGGAGCGGAAGCACGACUCAGACACAAUCACUCGCUGCUGACAAGUAAAAGCACUUCAAGGAAGGCUUUUUUCCCCCUCCCUUCACUUUGUUUUAAAUGGCUGAAGAAUUUCCUCUGAAUGCUUCCAAUUGCAGCUCACGCAGAGUUAUUUUUGAAAGCAGAGAACCAGAUUUCUGAGACACUGAAUGAGGAAAUGCAAAGCUUUUAUUAAGCAAUAAUAGCCCAGACAAUGGUCACAAUUUCCCAAGGGUCUGAACACCACAGCUGACAAUAAGCUUGAUUCCUAUACAAAACCCCCCUUGCAGGCUCAGAGGGUUUGCUUUGUAUGGUCUCAGCUCUAGUUGGAGAGUUAAAACAUUUGCAGCGUGAUUUCCUCCAGUAACAUCUGACCAGAGAUACAAAAAUCACAGGGAAAAGCCCUUCAUGUUGUCCCCUUCUUCUUUGUGAUAGUAUAACAAGCCCUUUUCCAAGCUUGCAACAGAGACAUCUCCCCAUCCAGCUGGAUCAUUCCAAACUGGUCCAUCUUUCCAGGAUCAAGAGAGUGGGGAAAAAACCCUUCAACUUCCUCAAAGCAAUCGGUAUCACCAUACCGUGACUCUCCUUCAAAUGGGAAGAAAUGGGCCACAAAGCCCCACCUGCCACCACAGAGCAUAACUGGAUCCGGCGAUCACAUCACCUCUUUGUUAUUUCAAAAGGGAGGAAGCUGCAGCUCAGAGGAGCUCACACAGCCUCUCGAGCUUCCCAUUCUGGCCUUGUGCAUGCCACUUCUCAUUCAGUGAGAUGUGGUUGGCCAUGAACAAUUGCUGCUGCAUGUGAACGAGCUGAUCUGGCUCUCUGUAGCUGGCAAAAGAAGCAGGCACUUCUAGGGCACAUAAAACUUGAUUGGUUCAAGAUGUCUACUUAGGACAAGAUGAAUUGUCCUGCACAAACGGCUGCUUUUCUCCACUGACUAUAAAGCAGACCUCAGGGAAAGAAAAGAAACAGCUUAGCUACAGACAGCUACAUCUGUACAAAAGACCUAAAUGCCUCCCAUUCAAAUGCUGUCCUCAUCUUAAAUAGUAAAGAAACUAAUACCCUAAGUUCAUUAGCUCUUCAAACCAAGCCCAGCCUGCAGGAGCAUUCCUACUCCAUCAUUCUCUCCCUCCUCUCCCUUGUCCCAGGGAAAGUGUGGCAUACCUGCACAGCAUACCAUGGUUACAUUUAAGCUUUCCUAUCAGGCAAGUUGAUUUCAACACAGUCAUUUACCGAUCAAGCUGACCACACAGCCAGGAUAGAGAGCCCACAGCACCUCUUUUCUCCUACUUGCUCCAUCUUAAAGGGAUUGCGAAAACAUUUCCUAACCUUCUGUAUACCUGUCUGUAAUCAAGAGAGCCUGGUUACAGCCAAAAGAGGGCAAAAGAAGAAAGUAAGCGGUUCAACAUCCUGCAUAAGCCUCUGCACCACUGCAUCUGCUGGUGCGCUCUCACCAGAGCAGCCACCACAAGCCGCAGAUGUGAGGAACACAUGCUUGUUGCCUUCCUCUGCCCUGCAACUGCUCAGUCCUGAUCCUCUCACACACAGCACUUGGGAGUAGCAGCAUCCUCUGCAUGCAGAGGACGGUUACUCUUUUAUUACUCCCCUCCAAAGACCCUUGCUCUGGAGCACAGGCUGUGCUUUACCUCCCUAUGGCGGUUCAGCAUAGGCUGGAACCAUUUGUCAGUGCCCUUCCUCGGCAGCAUCGUGCUUGGUGCAGUCAGUUCCACACACUGCCUCGAGAACGGGGAGCCGGGACACAGGGAGCAGUGCCAAGGACGCCCUGCCUGCAUAUACAGAUGCAGUAUAGCAGCUCUGCAUUGGCCUAUGGAGGAUCCAAGCCCUUAUCUCAAAGAGCACGUGCCAAGGAGAGCUUAUUUUUGGAUGAGAGGUAAUGGCCCUAAGUUGUGCCAGGGGUUGGAUAUUAGGAAAUAUUUCUCCUCCAAAAGAGCAGUACUGCAGUGGCACAGCUGCCCAGGGAGGUGGUGGGGUCACUGUCCCUGGAGGUGUUCCACAACUGUGGGGAUGUGGCACUG
ensembl:lncRNA